CGUCCAGACUCCUACGGGAGGCAGCAGUGGGGAAUAUUGCACAAUGGGGGAAACCCUGAUGCAGCGACGCCGCGUGAGUGAAGAAGUAUCUCGGUAUGUAAAGCUCUAUCAGCAGGGAAGAAAAUGACGGUACCUGACUAAGAAGCCCCGGCUAACUACGUGCCAGCAGCCGCGGUAAUACGUAGGGGGCAAGCGUUAUCCGGAUUUACUGGGUGUAAAGGGAGCGUAGACGGCGAUGCAAGCCAGAUGUGAAAGCCCGGGGCUCAACCCCGGGACUGCAUUUGGAACUGUGUGGCUGGAGUGUCGGAGAGGCAGGCGGAAUUCCCGGUGUAGCGGUGAAAUGCGUAGAUAUCAGGAGGAACACCGGCGGCGAAGGCGGCCUGCUGGACCGUGACUGACGUUGAGGCUCGAGAGCGUGGGGAGCAAACAGGAUUAGAUACCCGCGUAUC
rnacentral:rRNA from 1 species